CUCGCCUGAAAACCCUCUCUGCAUCAUUAUUUUUGCUUGCACUGUCCAGACUGAAAUUUGUGCAGAGCUCCCAGAAGAAAUACCGCUGAAUUCAGAAGUAGUCUAUUUAAGCUGCGUGGUGUUUAAAAAUUGCUGGAAGAGGUUAAGAAUGCAGGUACUGAGCAGAUAGUGGUUCUGUGUGUCAGCAUUUCCCUGGUGACUCUCAGCUUUUGCAGAAUUUAUGUUUUGACUAAAAAGAUGUAAUUCUUUUAUAGGUAAAAAAGGUAAAAUAUUUACGUGUAUACUGACUCCACACAGUCCUGAUCAGCGCCAAGAAAACUAUACUCUGCGUCUGAGGCGAAAUGUAGACUGUAUUAAUGAGUUCAUUAAUUAUGACAUAAUAGUCGCAACUUCUAA
rnacentral:lncRNA from 1 species